ACGCGUUGGGAGCUCUCCCAUAUGGUCGACCUGCAGGCGGCCGCGAAUUCACUAGUGAUUAGAGUUUGAUCAUGGCUCAGAACGAACGCUGGCGGCAUGCCUAACACAUGCAAGUCGAACGAAGGCUUCGGCCUUAGUGGCGCACGGGUGCGUAACGCGUGGGAAUCUGCCCCUUGGUUCGGAAUAACAGUUAGAAAUGACUGCUAAUACCGGAUGACGACGUAAGUCCAAAGAUUUAUCGCCGAGGGAUGAGCCCGCGUAGGAUUAGCUAGUUGGUGUGGUAAAGGCGCACCAAGGCGACGAUCCUUAGCUGGUCUGAGAGGAUGAUCAGCCACACUGGGACUGAGACACGGCCCAGACUCCUACGGGAGGCAGCAGUGGGGAAUAUUGGACAAUGGGCGAAAGCCUGAUCCAGCAAUGCCGCGUGAGUGAUGAAGGCCUUAGGGUUGUAAAGCUCUUUUACCCGGGAUGAUAAUGACAGUAUCGGGAGAAUAAGCUCCGGCUAACUCCGUGCCAGCAGCCGCGGUAAUACGAAUCGAAUUCCCGCGGCCGUCAUGGCGGCCGGGAGCAUGCGAC
rnacentral:rRNA from 1 species